UGCUUAUAAGCAGUAGCUCUCUUGCCGA
rnacentral:piRNA from 1 species